CAGCAGGACCCAUUUCCUGCCAAUGGUGAUGAUGUGACUUACAGCACUGUCGUCCCCAAGAGGAGGAACCAGCGAAAUGUACAGACCAGGGCAGAACCUGAUGAUAAUGUGGUCUACAGCUCACUAUCCCUACAGCUGGACCCAUUUCCUGCCAAUGGUGAUGAUGUGACUUACAGCACGGUUGUCCCCAAGAGGAGGAACCAGCUAAAUGUACAGACCAAGGCAGAACCAGAUGAUAAUGUGGUCUACAGCUCACUAGCCCUACACCACACAGAGGGCAGCAACACAGCAGUGACUGACUGAGUGAAGCUCUUGGUCCUAAAGAGAUCUUAUCCUGGAAGGACAGCCCACGCCCCCUCCGUGUCACAACAUGAGUCAUGACUAUCUAUCUGCCUCUAAUAUGCUUCUGCCCACACCUCCUAACCAGUAGCGGUGCGUGGGUAAAAUCACUGGGGAAGCCACCCAUACUACAACCUUUGUGUAAUAAUAGCGUGGUUUGCUCUAUAACCUGUUAAUUUCAUAUGCCUUGCCACUGUGAUAUAUAG